GAUAGUGUAUCUGAGCUUAAUGCCUUUUGUAAGGAAGAUGAUUAAUAUUGUAGUGCCUCUUUAGUUCAAAUUGUACAAGCCAUAUACUGCAUUGUUCCAUUGUUGUAGAUCUGCUUACAAUAAUUUGUUUAGCUGGGGUCAUUUCUUCAACAAGAAGUUGCGCCCCGGUUCAAUGGCAGAAAUUUGAAAUGUAUAACAGUCCCUUUUCAGAAUGGCAGUACUACGAUGCUUUAUACCAAAUAUAUUUGUUAAUUACAUCAUUGUUUUAUUCAGCUGCGUUCUUGGCCUCAGCUUCUUGAACAACCUAUAAUUGACGGGAGCAUGUGAAAAGUUGUGGGUAUUUUUUUCUUCAAUCUCUGCAAUUAGCCGUUGGUGAUGACGUUCCUCCUAUCUAUGUUGAAGAUGACAAGACUGACAAAGAUGUAUUCAAGGUAAGCUAUGGUUGACUAUGAGCACGAGCGACACCAGGGGAGCUAGACGGACAGUUAUGUCGCAUGAAAGCAAAAGGUCAUCUAGAUUUCUUCAACAAUCAUGCCGCAAGGCCACCAUGGAUACAUAAUGUAAACCACUACUUUUUCUACCUUUUCUAAAAAAAGUCACAACUACGUCUGACUUACUAUACAUAGUACUUUCAUGCUCUCGCACUCAUAACAGCAAGAAGAUAAGCUACAUUUUGUUUGAGAAAAUAUCUUACUUUAUUGAUCAAGGUUAAUUUAUAGUAAGUGCCUCAUGGAUACAAUUUGGGUCAGUAGAUGCAGUACACCAAAACUAUAUACACCAGGCUAUCUCAUGGGCUGACAAAUAAAAUAUUGU
rnacentral:lncRNA from 1 species